CAACCCUUAAGCCUCAGUUGCUUAGCGUUGGGACUCUACGACUUAUUAUAGCGUAGUUCCUUAAAGUUAGUGGCGGAGUUAUAGCACACUCUAAGCGUAGUAAUUCUCUCUCGCUUCUUGUAGUGGUUAUAAUUGCUAGCCAUAAAACACCCCCUAUUUUAAUGG
rnacentral:misc_RNA from 1 species